rnacentral:rRNA from 1 species
AACGAACGCUGGCGGCAUGCCUAACACAUGCAAGUCGAACGAGACCUUCGGGUCUAGUUGCGCACGGGUGCGUAACGCGUGGGAACCUGCCCUUAGGUUCGGAAUAACUCCCCGAAAGGGGUGCUAAUACCGGAUAAUUUCUUCGGACCAAAGAUUUAUCGCCUUUGGAUGGGCCCGCGUUGGAUUAGCUAGUUGGUAGGGUAAAAGCCUACCAAGGCGUCGAUCCAUAGCUGGUUUGAGAGGAUGAUCAGCCACACUGGGACGGGGACACGGCCCAGACUCCUACGGGAGGCAGCAGUGGGGAAUAUUGGACAAUGGGCGGAAGCAUGAUCCAGCAAUGCCGCGUGAGUGAUGAAGGCCUUAGGGUUGUAAAGCUCUUUUACCCGGGAUGAUAAUGACAGUACCGGGAGAAUAAGCUCCGGCUAACUCCGUG